rnacentral:ncRNA from 1 species
GAGACUGCCGGUGACAAACCGGAGGAAGGUGGGGACGACGUCAAGUCAUCAUGGCCCUUACGAGUAGGGCUACACACGUGCUACAAUGGCCGGUACAGAGGGCUGCAAUAUCGCGAGAUGGAGCUAAUCCCACAAAACCGGUCGUAGUCCGGAUUGGAGUCUGCAACUCGACUCCAUGAAGUCGGAAUCGCUAGUAAUCGUGAAUCAGAAUGUCACGGUGAAUACGUUCCCGGGCCUUGUACACACCGCCCGUCACACCAUGGGAGUGGGUUGCUCCAGAAGUGGCUAGUCUAACCUUCGGGAGGACGGUCACCACGGAGUGAUUCAUGACUGGGGUGAAGUCGUAACAAGGUAGCCGUAGGGGAACCUGCGGCUGGAUCACCUCCUUA